GGCCCCUCGCAAAAAGUUACGGGGGGUCACACCUGCACAAUGGCCUACGGGUUCAAUUGCUGCGGUAUCCUGACCGUGCAAAGGUAGCGUAAUCAAUAGCCUAUUAAUUGUUGGCCUGUAUGAAUGGUACGACGCUGGUGGCGCUGUCUCUGCAGUAUUAAUUUGAAUUUAACUUUUAGGUGAAAAGGCCUAAAUAAACCUGGAAGACGAUAAGACCCUAUCGAACUUUAGGUAGACUCUUACCGGGGCUGUUUUUAAGCUUUUGUAGGUGAAAACCUUUGGUUGGGGAAACCGGGGACCAAGAAAAACGUCCUCAUUUUUUCGAAGUUGACACCUGUUAUGUUGAGACAUUAAUGGUCAAUGUCUCAAGGCAAUUGGCCUGAGGGAAAGUGAUUGAUUUUCUGUAAAAGUAGGCUGACAAGACAUCUGUAACUAAUAGAAUGAACCUAAAGACCAGAAGGUAUCUGUUAAUUUGGAAGAGUUACCGUAGGGAUAACAGCGUUAUCCUCCUGGCGAGACCACAUUAAUGGGAGGGUUUGCGACCUCGAUGUUGGCUUGGGGCGUCCUAAAAGUGCAGGGGCUUUUAAGGGUUGGUCUGUUCGACCAUUAAAGCCUUACGU
rnacentral:rRNA from 1 species